UACGUAGGGGGGCUAGCGUUGUCCGGAUUUAUUGGGCGUAAAGAGCGUGUAGGCGGCCAGGUAGGUCUGCUGUGAAAACUCGAGGCUCAACCUCGAGACGUCGGCGGAAACCAUCUGGCUAGAGUCCGGAAGAGGAGAGUGGAAUUCCUGGUGUAGCGGUGAAAUGCGUAGAUAUCAGGAAGAACACCCGUGGCGAAGGCGGUUCUCUGGGACGGUACUGACGCUGAGACGCGAAAGCGUGGGGAGCGAACAGG
rnacentral:rRNA from 1 species